GUACGGCCGCAAGGUUAAAACUCAAAUGAAUUGACGGGGGCCCGCACAAGCGGUGGAGCAUGUGGUUUAAUUCGAUGCAACGCGAAGAACCUUACCUGGUCUUGACAUCCACGGAAGUUUUCAGAGAUGAGAAUGUGCCUUCGGGAACCGUGAGACAGGUGCUGCAUGGCUGUCGUCAGCUCGUGUUGUGAAAUGUUGGGUUAAGUCCCGCAACGAGCGCAACCCUUAUCCUUUGUUGCCAGCGGUCCGGCCGGGAACUCAAAGGAGACUGCCAGUGAUAAACUGGAGGAAGGUGGGGAUGACGUCAAGUCAUCAUGGCCCUUACGACCAGGGCUACACACGUGCUACAAUGGCGCAUACAAAGAGAAGCGACCUCGCGAGAGCAAGCGGACCUCAUAAAGUGCGUCGUAGUCCGGAUUGGAGUCUGCAACUCGACUCCAUGAAGUCGGAAUCGCUAGUAAUCGUGGAUCAGAAUGCCACGG
rnacentral:rRNA from 1 species